ensembl:lncRNA
GUCACAUUGUGGAAUUCAUCAGUUUGAUAGUUAACUGUUGUGUCAACUUGAGUUGCCCAACUGAUCCGCUUAACAUAGUUCUGAGUGUGACUGAAUGGAUUUACUGAAGAUGAAAGACCCACCAUAGGUGUGAGUAGCACCAACCAAUAGGCUUAUACCUGAGUGGAAUAAAAAAGGGAAAGAAGGACAGCUCACUUCUGUUUCAUUGGGGAAGCUCCAGUUUUUGCCUUUGGACAUCAUCUCCUGGUUUCCAGUACAGACUCUUCAGCCUUGCAGUGCAGACUCUGGCUUCCUGAUAUGGACUGGCAUGGGACUCUACAGUGAGCACCAGGCCUUCAACCUUUGACAGUCCUUUUGUACUCUUCCACACUUGACUCCACGGGCAGCCGUUUUUAUCCAAUCAGCCACAGAAGUGUCCUCAUCCUCACUCCUCGGCAUUGUCAGUCAGAAUACACUGGAGGACGGGAGCAGCUGCUGCCUCAGGAAGCCACAGCCUCAGCUAGCUGUUCCAGGUCCACCUGCUGUUGCUCCAAUCUGUUUCAGGUAGGUGGAUGUCCCACCCUGGUCCUCUCUUCCCUCAUAACUUGAUUUCAAAUUAGUCUCAAAUGAGUGUGCGUGGUUAAUAGGUCCCAAAGCACAUGCCAGACCUUAAUUAUGUGGGCAUCGGAGCAAUACAGUUCUGGGGCGUCUGACUUCUACAGUGGAGGGAAGCCUGUCGGAGCCUGGAUGGGUGCUGAGUAAGGCAGUCUGUUCAGCCCUCCCAGGCCACAUAAGCGAGAUUUACAUCACCAGCAUUCUGAGCGCCAGGGCUCUUCUGUUCAUGAAGAGUGGGACAGUUGUAAAACCACAAGCAAUUUUCCUUUUCAAAUCUUGCAUUCAGGGGUGUGUGCCCCCAGGCAAGAUUUGAUCUAGACUGGGCUGGUUUAACCUGACAGACGUUUGCGGGAACUUAAUCAAAAUAGAUGACAUUCAGACUCCGAGGUCCGAAAACAGGCAGAUGUGGUUGUUUUCACUCAUUUUUUAUAGCUGCAGUGUUAGUAUGAGCUUGAUAUAUAGUAAGCACUCAGUAAAUAUUUAUUAAGUAAAUAAAUGAAUGAAUAGAAGAAUGGAGAGAGGAACCCUUUGUCAUUAAAUACUAGGCAAAUUCAUCUGAGCUUGUGUUUGUUUAACAAAUGCUAAUAAUACUUGCUAUCUGCCAGGCACUGGGAUAAGUGCUUCUCAAAUAUUAACUCAAUUAAUUCCCAUAACUGCUCUAUGAGAUACGUACUAUUGACCCCAUUUUAAGACCCAAGUACAGAGAAGUCAUGUGGCUUGCCAAGGUCACAUGGAUAAGAAGUGAUAGAGCUACAAGACCCCUGGAUUGGGUUGCCCCAAAUAUCUUCUGCUACUCUGGGACUUGCCUAUCAUUGAUUCGGCCCCUACAGAACACCCCAAAUGCAGAUGGGUGACAUUAUGAGGAUAAAUGAGUCUCAUUCCAUCUGCUUUUGCAACUACGUUAAAAUCCAUCCAUCCUUAUUCCUUCUUUAUACUGCUUCCUGGUCUCUUCCAGUCUCCUGUAGGCCAUGUCUUCCAUCUACCUUUCCCUUUGUCCCUCACUCAUCUCAGGUGAGAGGCUGUGCAGCCUGGAUGAAUUCCAGUGCAGGGGUACAACUGGGACAGGCAUCCACGGUCCUCUUGGUGCAAGUCAGUGCUAGAGACCUCUGACUACUGCAGCUACCCAGAGCUUGGUGGUUUCUUCUGGAAAUCAUGCAGCAACAUAGAGCAUCCAUUCUCCCACAACCCACUGGGCCCAGUGGCCAACCCUCUGCUUGGAGGGUUUCUUUUAAGAAGCUGUGGGCCUUGGAAAGCCAGAGUUAGGGCUCUAUCUAAACUUUCUGGCCUAGAAGGGCAUGGCAUUUGCAAGUGCCCUGGAGAUUUGGCUCUUUUUACUGUCUCAGCAUGGAUUAUUUGCAAAAAUAACAGAGACUCAUAGAUAAUGUGAGGCUGUAGGAGAAACAUUCUCUUUGCCAGCACAAACAACAGUGCAGUAAAAGUAGGAGCAUGGAGGAGGGAUGUGCUAUUCUUUAGAGUUCAUUCUACCCAUGCCCUGCCUUCAAGCAGUGCUGUGCUUCUUAAGCUUAGACAGACUUCUUGAGGUACCUUCCCUUCAAUGGACAUCUGACAGCGAGGAAGCAGUUGUGAUAUCUAACUGCUGGCCUUCUCGUUUCAGGACUAUGGAAGUCUAGACUAGUGUGAUCUGAUAUAGAGGGAAGGCCAACCACAUGUGGAUUUGUUUCCCCUGACAAAGGAUUUCCCACAUUAUGAGGAGGUUGAGGCCACCUAUCAGCAGGUUUGGAGGACGUUCAAUGACUUUAGAGCAGGCCCAG